CUCUGGUACUGUGAGGAAACAUGGAGAGAAAGUUCACAGUGACCUAAUAAAUGGAAGAAAGGAAAACAGGGCAAAAUGCAAUGCAGAGCUAUUUCCCAGGAAGAAGCUACAUGAGUCUAGCAGCUAAACCCAGCAAUUGUUUAACUGGGGCUGGAAACAUUUCAUUUGCCAGCAACAGGCCUGUUUUUAGGGAGACCAUGUAAAAUGAGUGUGUUUCUGACAGCCCCUGAGCUUUUCACUUUCGUCCAAACUCCCUUCGCCCCCUGCCCGCCCCGCCACCGCCGUGUGGCCGACGGCUACAGCUGACGUCUCACAUCUCCCUUUGGAUGAUGAAAGCUUCCAUUUCACGUUCACAUCUGCAGGGCUCUGCCGCUCUCAGUUCUGACCGCUAACUGCUCAGCUGCACAUUUCACAAAAGGAAGUCCUGAACUCGGAGAGGUUUGGACUUGAAACGAGACUGGGAAGACCUGUGGCCAACACCCUUGUUGGAUUCUUGUGACUUAAGGCUUCUGUGUGGGAACAUCACUGAACCCAGCUGAGGAAUUUACAACAUGAUCUGCUUCCCUUGGGAUUAACCUUUAAUUACUUAUCCAUCCGUCCAUCCAUCCAUCCAUCCAUCUUGGUCCAUGAUCUCACAUAGACCGUCAACUGUGUUAGAUGCUGGGAAUACAAAGAUAACUGAGGCAUGGCGACUGCCUCCAAAGUCUUCAGUAAGAAAUGCUAGGUCAUACUGAAUGUGGAGUUUGAUAUACCCCACCUCCAUUUUAGUAAGUAUUCUUGCAAAGGUUUGUUACCUAAUUCAGUUAUUAUUAGCUGUCUAAGUAAAACUUUUUAAAAUGUUUAUUUGUUUGAGAGAGAGA